CCAAGCAUUAGGCUCCUUAAUCAUGGCGAUCAGUUCCAUACAAUCUGUUCCAAAGCUCUAGCAUGUCGAAUGUUGAAUCAUAUUCUCCAUCGCCCAUGGCAGUGCUUCUACUUCUGAAUGCAAGGCAAACUCGCGUCGAAUGUAAUUUCGUGUCCCCAUAAGUUGAACCUUCCCAAAGCUGUCAAUCCAAACUCAUCCACAACCGCUGAACUAUGUUGUGGAUGUCCAUGAC
rnacentral:lncRNA from 1 species